AUUGAACGCUGGCGGCAUGCUUUACACAUGCAAGUCGAGCGGCAGCGCGGGGGGCAACCCUGGCGGCGAGCGGCGAACGGGUGAGGAAUACAUCGGAACGUACCCCGGAGUGGGGGAUAACGCCGCGAAAGCGGCGCUAAUACCGCAUAUGCUCUGAGGAGGAAAGUGGGGGGACCUGCAAGGGCCUCACGCUCUGGGAGCGGCCGAUGUCCGAUUAGCUAGUUGGUGGGUAAAGGCCCACCAAGGCGACGAUCGGUAGCUGGUCUGAGAGGAUGAUCAGCCACACUGGGACUGAGACACGGCCCAGACUCCUACGGGAGGCAGCAGUGGGGAAUUUUGGACAAUGGGGGCAACCCUGAUCCAGCCAUGCCGCGUGCGGGAAGAAGGCCUCGG
rnacentral:rRNA from 1 species